UCCACAGUAGCUCAGUGGUAGAGCUAUCGGCUGUUAACCGAUCGGUCGCAGGUUCGAGUCCUACCUGUGGAGCCA
rnacentral:tRNA from 1 species